AUUGAGCCAAGACUGCGCCACUGUACUCCAGCCUUGGUGACAGAGCGAGACUCCAUCUCAAAAAAAAAAAAAAAAAAAAGAAUCCCUUUCUGUCUGACCCCCACCAGACGGCAGCAGAAUUGUGUGGAGAGCUUGUUCCCGAGGGACCUGGGGGAUGGAGCAGGCAAUCCCUUCUCCCUCUGACCUCCAGGCCCCACUGAGCCCUCUGGACACAAGCACAAUCAGGCACUUCAUGCCUGGCAAGGGUCAGAAUGAAAGGCCUGUGUCUGUCUGCUCCCCGCCUCCCUUUCUCCAUCUUCAGAUAAUUCCAUCUGCCCUUGGGCCAGAGCCUCAUCUUUCUCCCUCCUUUCCCCCUCCUGCCCGCUGAGUUAUUUACAAAUAUCUGGGAACAGAAGGGAUUUCUUCAGUGCUCUGUAGUGCCUGCCACUGACUCAGGUCUCUAACAUGCUGGGGGGCAGCGAGGGUAAAGAUGCUUGUGGUCCUCUCCUGUCACCCACAGGAACCCAAAGAGCUCAAUACACUGGGCGCAGUGGCUCAUGCCUGUAAUCCUAGUAUUUUGGGAGGCUGAGGUGGGAGGAUCACCUGAGGUCAGGAGUUCAAGACCAGCCUGGCCGACAUAAUGAAACCCCAUCUCUACAAAAAUUAGCCAGGCGUGGUGGUACGUGCCUGUAAUCCCAGCUACUUGGGAGGCUGAGGCAGGAGAAUCACUUGAACUCAGGAAGUGGAGGCUGCAGUGAGCUGAGAUAACACCACUGCACUCCAGUCUGGGCAACAGAGAGAGACUCCAUCUCAGAAAAAAAAAAAAAAGGCUCAUGCCUGUAAUCCCAGCACUUUGGGAGGCCGAGGUGGGCGGAUCAAGAGGUCAGGAGAUCGAGACCAGCCUGGCCAACAUGGUGAAACCCCAUCUCUACUAAAAAUAAAAAAAAAUUAGCUGGGCACGGUGGCAGGUGCCUGUAGUCCCAGCUACUUGGGAGGCUGAGGCAGGAGAAUGGCGUGAACCCGGGAGGCGGAGCUUGCAGUGAGCUGAGAUCGCUCCAGCCUGGGUGACAGAGCGAGACUCCGUCUCAAAAAAAAAAAAAAAAAAAAAAAAGACCUUGGCCUUGGCUAGACACGGUGUAAUCCCAGCACUUUGGGAGGUGAGGCCGAGGCGGGCGGAUCACCUGAUGUCAGGAGUUUGAGACCACUCUGGCCAAGAUGGUGAAACCCCAUCUGUACUGAAAAUACAAAAAUUAGCUGGGCAUGGUGGUGAGUGCCUGUAAUCCCAGCUACUCAGGAGGCUGAGGCAGAGAAUUGCUUGAACCCGGGAAGUGGAGGUUGCAGUGAGCUGAGAUGGCGCCACUGCACUCCAGCCGGGGCGACAAAGCAAGACUCUGUCUCAAAAAAAAAAAAAAAGAAAAAGAAGAGCUCAAUGGCUCCCCAAGGUCACACCGUGGCAGCCCAUUUUCUGUUUCCCACUCUGUUCUCCUACAUGGUUUGUCCCGGGUACAGGGUGAACCAGGAAGAGGAUGAGUUACCGCCAUUUCCCCAUGGAGUCAAAGGGCUUCUUCCUCCUGGAAAAUCCCCGGACACGGAAGUGACUAAGACCUAGUGGAGCUGCUGAACCUAAAAAGUGAACACUCCAGGUCAGCCGGGAGCUCUCACAGCCAUUCGGGGACCAGGCUCCUUCCAUGUGCUGCUGUGCUGCCCCCUAGGGCCCUGCCAGUGACUCAGGACCGAAGCUGAGUGACUGCCAUGCCGGGUUCCAGCCAGCAGGAAGGGCAAGGGAGUGUGGGGCGGGCAGGCCCAGGGUCUUAAAGCCCAGGCUGGGAGAGGCACACACCCCUUCCCCUUCGCAGCCCAGUGGUGGGAAUUAAAUCACAUAGUCAUACCUGACCGCAAAGGGGCUGGGAAAUGUGCCUACCCAGUUGGCACAGGGAGCUCAGAUUUGGGUGGACAAUGAGCAGUGGUCACCAGAGCCCCCAGAGCCUCCCCCUCUCUCCCUCCUCUCCACCCUCUCUCUCCCCACUCUCUCCCUGGCCAUUCCUCCCCAGCCCCCGCCUUUUUUUGUUGUUUUUUUUUUUUGAGACAAAGCCUCCCUCUUUUGCCCACCACAGGCUGGAGUGCAGUGGCAUGAUCAUGGCUCACUGCUUCCUCGACCUCCUGGGCUCAAGUGAUCCACCUCAACCUCCCACAAAGCUGGGACUACAGGCACGAACCACCAUGCCCAGCUAAUUUUUUUUUUUUUUUUAAUUUUUAGUAGAGACAAAAUCUGACUAUGUUGACCAGGCUGGUCUCAAACUCCUGGGCUCAAGUGAUCCGUACUCCUUGCCCUCCCAAAGUGCUGGGAUUACAGGCGUGAGCUGCCACGGCACUUGGCUCCCCUUUGUAAAUGUGCCCCAGGGCUCUGUUCUUGGCCCUUUUCUCACCCCACAUGCAUGCCUUGGCCAUUCCCGUCCAAUCCUGUCUGAUGCCCUAAAGCCUCCCUACCUCCAGCUCAGGCCUCUCUCAGCCACAAACCCACGCAGGCAACAGGGCCAAAUCUGGGACUCAAGCCACACUCCUCCUCUGCCUCACCCCACAUUCAAUCUGUCACCAAAGCUGGUGAGUCUACCUUGUAAGGACCCCCUCACCGAGACUGUCCUCUCCUUCUCCCCGCCGACCCCGCCCCCGAAUGGGUUCUCACAGCCUCCACCCCUGCCCCCCUGCCUCUACCCCCAGGGACUCCACACCAGCCUCCCAUGAAUCAUGAAAUGUGAGUAUUCACCCUGCCUGUUCCUGAGCCCUCUUCUCUCACAGUCUGAUUGGGUCACCCUUCAGGGGCUCCCUCUUGUCUUCAGAAUCAACUCCUUACCCUAACAUAUAAGACCUUUUGUGAUCUGACCUCGGUCUACUUCAUCUCUUGUCACAUGUACCCUGUGCUCCAGCCACUCAAAUCUUGGCACUUUUGUGUGUGCUCUGCCCCAGUGCCUCCCGGCCUUCACUUCAGGGAUUCCUAUAUCCUUGAAGACUCAAUUCAGAGAGCUCCUUCUCUGAGAAGCCCCCUCUGAUGCCCUGAUGCUCUUCCCACAUGCUCCACUGUUCCCUCAACCUCACCAGUCUCCACCUCUAUGCCUGUCUUGUCCUGAUUGCUCACUUACCUCUCUCCCCUGCUAGGUGGUGAGCUGUCGGAGAGCAAUAUGAGGUUUUAGUUAUUUCUCAUCUCCAGUCCUUAGCCCAUUGUUGGAGACAGUUAACGCUUAACGCUUGAGAAAUGUUAGCUCCUUUCUCUUCUCCUUUAAAACUGUGACACAAAGGCUGGGCACAGAAGCUCACGCCUGUAAUCCCAGCACUUUGAGAGGCCAAAGCGGGUGGAUCACUGGAGGUCAGGAGUUCGAGACCAGCCUGGUCAACAUGGCAGAACCCCGUCUCUACUAAAAAUACAAAAAUUAGCCAGGCGUGAUGGCUCACACCUGUAAUUCCAGCUACUCGGGAGGCUGAGGCAGGAGAAUUGCUUGAACCUGGGAGGCAGAGGUUGCAAUGAGCUGAGAUCACUCCACUGCACUCCAGCCUGGGCAACAGAGCGAGACUCUGUCUCAAACAAACAAACAACAACAAUAAAAACUGUAACACGUAGCUUUAUACAUAAAACUAAAAUCUGGAAACAGCCCAAACAUCCAUCAACAGGAAAACAUAUACAUUGCAGAAUAUUCAUUCAAUCAAAUACUACACGGUGAUAAAAUGAGUUAACUACAGCUUCAUGCAACAGCAUGAAUGAAUCCCAUGCAUAAUGUUGAACAAAAGAAGCCAGACCCAAAAACGUACCUUCCAUUCUUAUGAGGGUCAAAAACAAGCCGAACGGAUCUUCGGUGACAGAGGCCGGCAUGGUGGUCAUCUCCGGGUCAGGAGAUCAACUGGGAGCAGGCCUCACACAGCCUCCCAAAGGCUGGAAGUGUUGCUUAUCUAGGUCUGGGUGGCGAUCACACAGGUAAUGUACAUGUGUAAUGAUCAUCAAGCUGAAAUUCUGGUGCAUUUUAGAGUAGGUAACUUCCCUCUGUUUGUUUAAGUGCCAUGAUUUUGUAAUAAAUCAUCGUGGAAGCCGGGUAGAGUGGCUCAUGCCUGUAAU
rnacentral:lncRNA from 1 species